ACUUAAAUCUAAUGAGAAUCAGAGAUGAGAAUGCCGAUGCGACGCACGCGCAAUAUACAUAUACAGUUGGGAAGCCGAGUUAGAAGCACUGUUCACGCUUGUUUUGCCCAGAAUGACAUGCAAAGUUAACUUCAACAGCAUCAUAUUCUUGUUUAUUUAAAGUUGCCACGUAUUAUACAAUUAUUAAUUCAUUGUCAUGGAGCGAAUAAAGACAGAUUUAACAAAAGUUCAAAAAAGUAUUAAAAUGUCAAGCAGUGGGAGGUCAAUAAAAACUACGAAGAAUCUGCUUAUAUUAUGAUUAUGAUACAGCCAUUAAAUUGAAAAACUUGAUAUUCAAAAUCAACAAAUACUUAAUGAAAUAUCAAUUUUAAACGUUGAAGAAAAAAAGCAGUAGAAAAUCGACCAUAUGAACCUGUGACAGGAUGCCCCUUGCGUACAAUAGAAGAGUUUGAAGCUUUCAAAAAAAAAUAAAGCUAUGCUUAAGAAACUCUACCAUCAUGUACUGCUUUUGGGAGGUGUAAAGCCUCGUGAUUUUCUGAGUUACGCAUUAAAAGAAGUGAUUACUGAUGAGCUUGUGUGUAAAUUCAAGUGCUUUGAGUCAGAUGAUACUUAUCAUUUGGGCGAUACUAAGCUUUCAAAUGUUUGAUACAUGGUGGCAAGUGAUUGUCCGUCUUUUCGAGGACCUUGCACUAAACAAUAGUAUAAAAAUCAGAUGCUUGAAGUUUUGCAAGUGACUAAAAAAAGGUUUCGAAACUCGAAGAAAAAGUUCCUGGAUAAAAGUCAGACGGAAGCCUCAGCCGAGGACAUUAAAAAAAUAUAGCAGAACUACAAAAAAAACUUCGGGCAGAUGAAAUUGAUGGUGUAGAUGACGAAGAAACGCAAUCAGAAGUAGGAGAUGGCGACGACGAGCGGGAGAACGACGAGGAUGAAAAUUAAGUAGAUAUUUAUGUGAUUUAAAGUUUUAUGGUGCCUUAUUACUAGCAAGGAUAAAAUCUAAGUCAAUAUUUAUAUUUUUCUUUUUUGUAUGAACUACCAAUGAACAUGAUCUGCACGCCUGUUUUUUGAGCUGUUGCUAAAGUUCAUUCAUUUUUAUUAUAUUACCAUGAUAUUUUAUUUCUUUAUAAUAGGUCAAAAGGUGGUAAAAUGAUGCGUCUAAACAAGCCCAAGUUGAAGGCAAAAUAAUAGUUUAAUAAAAUGAUAUUUCAACGAAACAUUAAAUUGCGAUUUUUUAGACAAUUUGGAAUAACUCAACAAAAUCUCUAAAAUAUGUUAACAAUUCAGCAAAAUACUAUGGUCAUAUAUAUUGAAAUAUCCAUUGGAUUGAAAAACUGGAUAGUCUGAGUGAAUUACAAAAAUAUUUUUCUUUUCCCAGAAAAAAUACGACUAUUCCUAAUUAGCCAAAGAACUUUGAAACAUAUGCUAAUUAUUCCCAAAUUUAUUUGACGGUAUUUUAGAAUAUCUUUUUAUUGAAUUAACAAUUUGCCUUCAACUUCAACUUCUUGGACGCCAGAAGUUUAUUGCCAUUCGUGCUGUUAUAAGACAAUAAUUUAUGUUAAUGUUAUAAUAAUUAAGGGUCUUUAGCACGA